AGAUAAUGUUCAUCGAUAUGAGUGAAUUUCAAUGUACUUGGAAACAUUUCACUGCACCUGUGAAUCUCAAAGGACUUUAUUAGCUUCCAAGAUAUCAUGUAGCAUAGCUGACAUGGUAUGUUUAUCUGAUUGUAUGUCCCUACUUAACAUUUCAGAUAUUAACACAUGCCUACACAAUAAAGUGAAAAGGAUUAUUCUCCUGAGCAUUUAAACAAGAACUGAUGCAAACUAAUUAUAACGGUGAUUUGGGGCUGAAAUACUUUCCCAUCACUCUCGAAUCUAAUAGCUUCAAGGCUUCCUCAGAUUUAAUGCAAUUAGGUUUUUUCUAUUGGCUAAAUGAAGUUCCUCUGGACACAAAAUAAUCCAUUAGUGCCUCAAAACUUCCUUGCUUUACCACCCUAAUCUCUAGAGCUGCAAUUAUGCUCCUUUUCCUAUAGAUUUUAUAUGUAUAAUGCAAUGACUCUUCCAUUCUAGAGCAACACUCUACCAUUAUCUUUGGGUCAAGCUCUUUGCAAUGCUUCCCUUCUUUUCCCUUGAUCUCCCAAAAUAAGACAUAGUGACCUGGUGCUGAAGAAGUAUCAACAUAGCUAGUGUACUCCGUCAAGAUGAAUCCGAGUGGAUCGAGAAGAGCCUUUGCUUCUGUCACAGCCUUGAAAAGGUCUGUUUCGCUUGUUUUUUCAUGAUCAACACUUAGGAUAACAUUUUUCCUCUCCAGAAAUUGGAAUUGAGGUGCUUUAUUGUAGAAACCACUCACCAUAAGAACAUCUCCAACUUUAUAUCGAUAUAAUCCUGAAAGAAACAAAGGAAUAUCAUCAAACUAGAUUAGAUCAUUAUCUAACAGGUUAAUGUAGGAACUAGGAAGCAUAAUGCAAAAUUAGAAGAUGGCAUUUAAUUGAUUAAAUUCAAAGGAGGAACUUUUACCUGCACAAGUUGAGACAACUAGUUCAUAACAUUGACCAACCUUCACAUUUACAAGAUCAACAAGUUCAGUAUCUUCAUCGUUGCUCUUCAUUUCAAAAGAUUCAUCACGUUCAUUCUUCACAGGAAGGAAUUCAAAGUAAGCCAUGUUAGGGAGUAAUGUGUAGGAGAUAUCACAAGGUUUGCAUAGAGGUUCUAAGUUAAGCCCACAAAAAGUUUCCGAGCAAGCAUAGAAAGCUGAAACUAAAGGGAGCCCUCGGCAAUAGAACUCAAGUUCUGUAGUAUACUGUCUCAUAGCGCCAGUACAAAUACAACCAAUAUACCUUGCUUUAGUCCAUAGCUUUCUGAUUAUUCCUUCCCAUGAUUUAUAAUUGCAUAUGCUCUCUAUCAAGUCAGCUUGCUCUGGAUUAUGCUUCAUGAUCAAUGAUGCUGCAUUUCUGCAUCCUGAGUCGGUGAUCCAAUCGCUUAAUCGACCUGUUUUUAUGUCAUAGCAUAGCUCUUGCCAGUGAUUUUCUAGAAACUUGAUACCUCUUAGCACCGUAGAUGCAAAGAGUGAACCAACCUUGACAACCUCGUCUCAUUGGAUUAAACCAAAAAGUAAUUGACAGUAUAGGCCCUGGUUGGGGUCUGGGCAAAAGAUGGUCUCAAUGGGGCUUGUGUAAAGCUUAGGCAAAUUGGUUCUAAACUUACUCUCGCUGUACAUGCUCGUUGAAAAAAUUGCUGCCUUGAGGCCACUAGGAGUUUCAAUCUCUGGUCUGGCAAACAUAAGCUCCAUUCUUUUACCGGCUUGGUUGAUGUCACCGAAGUGCCUUUAAAAUUAGACGGAUAAAGGCUUGUUUAAAAUGAUAUGACUUUAAUUAAUGAAAAUUAGAAAUUUUAUUACAUUUGUGUAUGUAAGGAAAUCACAUAUUUAUCAAAAAAAAAAUAAGCUGAUAUUUAUUAAUUAGGCUCAAGAAAAUGGAACUAGGAAAUCACAUAUUUAGAAUAUAAAGACUUGUUUAAAAAUAAUAUACAAUAAAUAAUUUAGAACUAAUUAUUAGUAACACGUGAAAUAUCUGUGAUAUUAAAAUAAAAUAAAAAAUAGAUUAAGUUGUGAGUAAAAUGCAAUUUAAACAUAAAAACACAUCAAAUUAAAAAUACUAAAUUAAUAUAAUUGUUUAUCAUUGUUGUGUUAUCAGUCCUGAGUUGGUGUUUUGUUAAUUUGUGACAAUAACUCAAUCAAGAACAUUGUUAAUAAGAAAUUCUAUCAAACAUGUAUGCAUGUGGAAACCGCGUAUUUAGAAUAUAAUAUAUACAAUUGAUGGAGGUAAUAAAUUGUGCAUAAUAAAAUUAAAACGUAUAAAGAAAUUAAAAAAAAAGUUUGGUUGAGUGGUAAAUUUAAAGUUGUACCAAUACAAUUGGUUUGGAUUCAAAUCUCACAAUAUGAAUAGAUUUUAUUAAAAAACUAAAAUAUCCUUAAAUAAUAUAAUUUAUUUUAAGUAUGGAAUUUUAUUUUUAUAAUUUUCCUAACUAAACAUGUGGUGCUCAGUUAACAUGUGACACCAACUUAAUUAAGGAGUUUAUUAAUAGUAUAAAUACAAAAAAAUUUAAAAAAAUAUAUAUUCUUGUUUGAAAGCUAAAAUUAUAUAUAUUUUUAAGGAAGCUAAAAUAUUAUUAUAUCAUAGAAAAUAAUGCUAUAUUGUAUAAUAUUUAAAUAUAUAAUAAACUUAUAUUAGUACUAUGCAUAAGUAUACAUAUUUAAAUAACUAAUGAUAUUGUAAUAUAUAUAAUAUAUUGGGUUAAUAUUUGGUAUAUUAGCAGUGAGCUUAUUUUAUUUUACAAAUAAUUAAAAAAAAUUCAUUUGUCCUUUUUUUUAAAUAGUUAUUUUCUUUAAUAUUUUAUUAUAUCCUAUAUAAUAUGUAUCAGCCUGUUAACCUUACUUGUAGAGUCUAAAAACUCUACUUGCAACGUGCCAAAUAUUUUCCCUAAUACAUUUAAUAUAUUAUAAUAUGUUUAAUAUCAGUUGCGAAUUAAACAUAUCAUUAAUAUAAUGUUUAUUUAAUAUUAAAAUGGAUUAUUAUCCUAUCAGAGUUUGAAUCUUCUAAUCAACAAUAUAAUUUAAUAGUUCACUUUAAGCAAAAGUGUUCAUGAUUUUAGCUUAAAUAUGAUGUUAACGAAUUUUAUAUUUAUCUAAGUUUAGCCCGAUUUGAAAUAUGGAUUUAAAAUUGUCCAAGCUCCCCUAUAUUUGUAAAUGUUUAACUUAAGUUUACUUUUAUUUUUUGGAAUUUUUUAAUUUAUAUUAUUUUUAUCUAAUAUUUAAUAUUUUUAUAUAUUUUUUAUUUAUUAAAAUUUUAUACAUAAUUAUCUUAAUAUUUACAUUAUAAUAUUAUAUAUGAGUUAGUAUUGAGCUGUCUUUAUUGAUGAGAACUUUUUUAAAGAAAAAACUAUACAAAUAGUUACUCAAUUAUAAAAAAAUUCAUUUUAGACACUAAAAAAUAUUUACAAUUUAAACACCCACGUUACCUAGUUCAGCUAUUUUGGUCCCUCUCAUUAUAAUCACCAACAGAAGGCUGAUGUGGCAAUUAAAAGAAUUGGUAUAAUAAUAAAUUUAGCCCUUAACAUAUUAUAUCAAUUUAGUAAUUAAUAUAAUUAUAUUUAUUUAAUAUUAAUAUUAUUAAUAUAAAUUUUAAAUUUAUUAUUGUUAUAAAUAUUUUUUUAUUAGGUGGAUAUCCAUCAAUAUCAAGAUAAAUUUUAUGUACUUCAAGACUCUGAGACUAAAUAGAAGUACAGUUUAUUUCAUUUAUAUGUCUUAUGUCUAUAAAUAUAGAUUUUGGAACAACAUUGUACACAUCUCUAUUGAUCAAUAAAAAUAUGCAUUUCUCUUUGUUCUCCUAUUUCUUUCUCUUUUUUUUUUUACUUUUAUUAUUAUUUAUUUAAUAAAAAUUAUUAUAAUUUUUUGAAAAUAUUUAUGUUUUUUUUUAUUUUUUUAGAAUUAAGAUCAAAUUGAGAUUGUAAAUUUUGAGGGUUAAUGUUUUAAAAUUAUGACUAAAUUGAUAUAAUAUGUAAAAAUUUAGAGUUAAAUUUAUUAAUAUACCGAUUUUUUUAACUACCACGCCAACAUUCGCGUGAUUUUAACGGGAUCGAACAAAAUGACCUAAGUGAUUGCUUAACUAACAAUUUUUUUAUUUAUUUUUUAUUUUGAACUUUUAAUUGUUAGAUGAGUAACUACGUAGUUUACCCCUAUCUUUUUAUUUAAUCGGAGAAGUAAACCGCAAUUUAUUGUUAAUGGCAACUCUAGGCAGGGGAUUUUUAUCCGUAAUUGAUCAAUGAGUAAAAGGUUUGAUUUCACAUGUAGCUGAAUGAAAAACUGAAAAAAAGAAAUUGAUAUGGGUUCAUACCUCAUCGUCGGAGACUCGCUGAAGGUUCCAACUAAUGGCCCCUUGUUAAGAUAUUCAGCAGUGACAGGAAUCAGCUUUGGCUGCCCGCCUGAAGUCCCAGAGCUGCAUUUGAUCAAACAGAUGAUAGAACUAUUAGAAGGAAGCAAACAAUACCACAAAACACACAGAAGCAAAGCAACAAAUUCAUGCAUGCCUUAGAUAGAACCCUGUAACGGGUUCAGCUACAAGGAUAUCUGAUGUCUCCCCAUUAGCAAUCCUAUCUAUGUAAGGCUUGAGAUGUUCAUACGUAACAAUGGGAACAUUUUUCUUAAAGAGCUGCUUCUCGGUUUGACCAUGGAGGAAUCCCCUUAAAUACUCUGUUCCUGCAUUUCUACUUAGUAUUUCCCCCAAUUCCUCGUCUUGAAUUUGCUGAGCAUUUGUGGUCAGUUCCUCAAUCAUCAUCAACCCACCUUCAUACCCAUUCGUUGCCAUCAACCCUAUUACUGAGAUCCACACAGCUUUUUCUGUUUUCUUUUUGGGGAUGCUCUGGCUAUUGGCAAUGGAAUCUCUACCUACGCUAAAUAUAAUAAGAUUCAUGGGACUUGACCCACACAUGUCGGCACGCAUAAUAAACAAUGUGGCAUCAAUGAAAUGAUUAAAACAUGAAUUAGUAAUAUAUUAAAUAUAUUAAAACUAAGCAUGUGAAAGUUGAAUUUAAUGGAAUUGAGUACCAAUUUACGCCGAAAGUGGUUUAGUUGAUUUUUAAAUAAUAUUUUUUUAAUAUAUAUUGACUAAAGUGCUCUUUGCUGUCUUUUGAUGAAAAUAAUUCAAACAAUUCUUAUUUAAAUAAUGAAUGUGAAACAUGUUUUAUUAAUAUUAAAAUAAAUAUAAUUAUAUUUAUAAGAGAACGUUUGUAUGUAGGGUGGCCUAUUCACAAAGAUGGGCGAACAAUGCUUUUCUGAAGGGAGCGAGUAAUUCGUUAUUUUAGAAAAAGGAGACAUACUUUCAAAGGUGUGGGUCAUUUGAUAACUAGUCGGAUAGCAGAAAAUAGAGAACUACCUUCUCAAAUGAUUUGUAAUACUAACUCGUGUCCACAACUAGACGGGUACGCGACUUAAACUUAAAUCACACCUAGAGCGAUGAACAUCGUUGCCAUUAAGCCAAUACAGAGAAUUCUUAGAAACAAUUUUUUAAUCACUAGCAGCAUAUAUUUCAAAUGUAAAAGGAAAAGAGAAGAAAAUGAAAAUAAAAAAUUAUCACCAAAAUAACACCAACCUUGCAAUAGGCAACCCAAUGUUAGCUUACAUACAAUAUUUUAAUAUACAUAUGCUUUGCUGGAAAACUUGCUUUGUAUCUCCCUUACCAAAUAUAUGAAUAUUUGACUGGUAAACUUCCCAAAAUAUUAUAUUAUACAAUCAAAUUAGGGUUUUUUUUUUGCUCUUCUGAAAGAAUUGUGGCUAACCCUAAAAAAUUGGGAUUGUUUUUUUAAAUUAGGAUUUUUUUCAUGCAAGAUUUAGAUUUAGGUUUUAUUUUUAGAUUAGGAUUUUUAUUUAUGCAAGAUUUGGCUAACCCUUGAAAAGUACCUCCAAAUUGCCAUCGAAUCUCCAUCCAAAAGCCUUGUUUAUUGCCCCAUUGCUUUCCUCCAAAAUAAUGCUGGUCCAUCGUCGAAAUAGCCGCUGAUCGCUCGCUAUAUUGGAUAUCGGUUAGCUAAGUUAAUUUAGGUGUUUAAUUUCUUGUGAUAUAUUUGGUUUUUAAUUCCAAAGUAGAGUUAGAUAUAUAUAUAUAUAUAUAUAUAUAUAUGGUAGUUUAAAAUGUUUUAGAUUAUCAUUAAACUAUAAACUACUUAGCGUUUAAAUUUUUAAUCCUGUACAUCAAUUAUAGAUGAUUCGUAAGUUCCAGAUUGAGCAGCAUCACCAAAGAGUCUUCACAAUAAUUAGUUUGUGACGACGUUUUCACUUCGUUUAGUUUUGACAUGUACUUAGGUCCAUCGGAUUUGUGGGCUAUUUUUAUAUUGGUUAAAUAUUUAGUUUAAGGCAAGCAAUCUUUGUGUGUUUGAAUUGAACGAUUAAUUUAUUUAAACUUUUUAAUUUUAAAUUUGAUAAUCGAAUUUGUUAAAAUGAAUUAAUUUGUUAAUUGCAUUAAUUGAAUGAUUGAUCGAAUGAAUUAUUUCGAUAACCAUUAUAACACUCCGAAUUUAACUUGACUCUCAAGUCAAGUUUGAGGUAUAACAAUUAAUCCUCAAAAUUGAUCGUAUGUAAGAAGGCUUCAGCUUCUUCACCUUCCCACUUUUACAUAAACCUUUAAUGACCAUGUUGUGCACGAUAGUGUUACACUUCAAACCUUGCGUCUCUACAUAAUCCCAGAGAUUGAUCACCUCUUCCGUAAGAGCAGUUCUAGCUAAGCCCCUAACAAAGACACCGUAAGAAACAAUAUGUCCCCCGUUCUCCCUGUCUGUUCCGUUUAUCUGGUUUUUAUCAUAACCAAGAUACAUUGUGCUUGGUAUAGAUCAAAUGGAUAAUAGAAAUUUUUUAUCUGUUCGCAGACAAUUUUCUUCCUUUGGUUUGCAUUAUCUGGUUGGAUGUUUCGAUGCUUAAUAUUUGCCACAUGGAUACUACCAUUUGCUGGACCUCUUCUCAUUGGGACUGUUGCCAAUAAUCUUGUUAUUAAGGUAUCACUUACUGCUAUAAGAUGGCGUAUGUAAUGCAAGACAUAAGGGAUGACUUCUGCAACAGGCGUUCAUCUUUUCCAUAACAUGAUUUAAUUUGUUUAGUUUUUCAUCACUUGUUUUUUACUUGUAAAAUGCGACACUGGGUAAGCUUUUUCCAUAACACGUGGAAUCGUAUGAUCGAAAUUAAAGUGUUCAUGAGUUUGAUUUAAAUAUGAUAUUAACAAAUUUUAUAUUUAUUUAAAUUUAGCUCGACUUGAAAUAUGGAUUUAAAAUUGUCUAAGCUCGUCUAUAUUUGUAAAUGUUUAACUUAAGUUCAUUUUAGGUUUACUUAUAUUUUUUGAAAUUUUUAAAAAAUACAUAUUAUUUUUAUUUAAUAUUUAAUAGUUUUAUAUAUUAAAAUUUUAUAUAUAAUUAUCUUAUUAUUUUUUAAUAUUUACAUUAUAAUAUUAUAUAUGAGUUAAUAUUUGGUACACUAAUACUGUACUUUUUUUAAAAAAAUAUUUAUUUUUUAAUAUUUUAUCAUACUCCUAUAGGUUAUAAGACACUUGACAACUCCUACCUUAUUUGUGAAAUCUAAAAAUUUCACUCGUAGUGUACCAAUUAUUUUCUCAUUAUAUAUUAUUAUACAUUUAAUUUUUAAACACUGAAAUUUAUUUAGAAGAAACUUUCAAAAAGAAAAAAAUAAACUAUACAAAUAAUCACUUAAUUAUAAAAAGAAAAUCAUUUUAGAUAUUAAGAAAAAGUUUACAAUUUAAACAUCCACGUUACCUAGUUUGAGUAUUUUGGUUCUUCUCGUUAAAAUCACAAAUGAAAUUGCUGACAUAGCAAUUAAAAAAGUCGAUAUAAUAUCCAGUUUAUCCCUCAACAUAUGAUAUUAAUUUAGUUAUAAUUUUAAAAGAUUAAGCCUUAAAAUUUACAAAUAGGCUCAAUUUCAUCCUAAUUCUAAAAUUCAACUAAAUAUAUAAAAAUACAUAAAUAUUUUUAAGAAAUAUAAUAAUAAAUUCAACACCAUUCAGCUCUCUAAAAUUCUAAGUAUGUCUUGUUUAGGGAAGUUGUCCUUUUUUUCCUUUUUAGAGAAUUAUUUUGGGGUUUUAAUUUCAUUAGAGAAUUCUCUAUAAGGCAAUUCAAACAUGCUUAGUAAAUUUUUUUCUUUUCUUUCCAUAGCCUCUACAACCAAGGAAGGGAGGGAGGGAGGUGGGAGAUUUUUAUUUUAUUUAAUAAUUAAUAUUAAUAAUAUAAAUAUAAAAUUUAAAUUUAUUAUUAUUAUAAAUAUUUUCUUAUUAGGUGGGGAUUUCCAUCAAUAUCAGUAUAAGUUUGAUGUACUUCAAGACUCUAAGAUUAAUUAGAAGUAGAGUUUAUUUCAUUUAUAUGUCUUAUGUGUUAUGUCUAUAAAUAUAGAUUUUGGUUGUGAUGAAUAUAAGAGAAAUGAUUGAAUGCCCUAGUAUGAUUUAGAUAUAGUUGACAUGUCAAUAAAAACUGUUAGCAUUAUCGCGUCUAUUUCGUGUACGUAGGUAUGAGAUGUGUAUAAUAUGGAGAUUGAUAUUGCACUUUUGUGCUUAUUUGGUGUGGUGGAGGUUAAUGCCAUAUUUGUAAUGAUAUGUGCUAUUGGGGGAAGGAUUCUAUGAUAUGAUUGCACUUUAUGCACUUGGUGUGAUGUAAUUUUGUAUUGUAUGUGCUAUAUGGUGCAGUGGUUUAAUUAUUUCGUAUAUUCGAUUUUCGAAUUAAUUACAGCAAAUAAAUGAGUAAAGAUAAUUCGAUUUUCGAAUUAAUUACAGCAAAUAAAUGAGUAAAGAUAAAGUUCAUCGACGGACUUAUACAAAUUGCUAACUGAAGGGGCAGAGAUAUGUUUAAGAGACAAGUUGAACGAGCUUGAAGAUUAAGAUAAAGUUCAUCUAUUUUUCCGACAUCCCAUAUGAGUGAAUUUCGAUGUACUUGGAAACAUUUCACUGCACUUGUGAAUCUCAAAGGACUUUAUUAGCUUCCAAGAUAUCAUGUAGCAUAGCUGACAUGGUAUGUUUAUCUAAUUGUAUGUCCCUACUUAACAUUUCAGAUAUUAACACAUGUCUACACAAUAAAGUGAAAAGGAUUAUUCUCCUGAGCUUUUAAACAAGAACUGAUGCAAACUAAUUAUAACGGUGGUUUGGGGCUGAAAUACUUUCCUAUCACUCUCGAAUCUAGUAUCUUCAAGGCUUCCUCAGAUUUAAUACAACUAGGUUUUUUGUAUUGGCUCAAUGAAGUUCCUUUGGACACAAAAUAAUCCAUUAGUGCCUCAAAACUUCCUUGCUUUACCACCCUAAU
rnacentral:lncRNA from 1 species